rnacentral:rRNA from 1 species
AGAAUCAACGCUGGCGGCGUGCCUAACACAUGCAAGUCGAACGAGAAAGUGGAGCAAUCCAUGAGUAAAGUGGCGCACGGGGGAGUAACACGUGACUAACCUACCCUUGAGUGGGGGAUAACCUAGAGAAAUCUGGGCUAAUACCGCAUAAUACCUUCGGGUCAAAGGAGCAAUUCGCUUAAGGAGGGGGUCGCGGCCGAUUAGUUAGUUGGCGGGGUAAUGGCCCACCAAGACUGUGAUCGGUA